CUUGACAUCCAGAGAAUUUAGCAGAGAUGCUUUAGUGCCUUCGGGAACUCUGAGACAGGUGCUGCAUGGCUGUCGUCAGCUCGUGUUGUGAAAUGUUGGGUUAAGUCCGCAACGAGCGCAACCCUUAUCCUUUGUUGCCAGCACGUAAUGGUGGGAACUCAAAGGAGACUGCCGGUGAUAAACCGGAGGAAGGUGGGGAUGACGUCAAGUCAUCAUGGCCCUUACGAGUAGGGCUACACACGUGCUACAAUGGCGCAUACAAAGAGAAGCGACCUCGCGGGAGCAAGCGGACCUCAUAAAGUGCGUCGUAGUCCGGAUUGGAGUCUGCAACUCGACUCCAUGAAGUCGGAAUCGCUAGUAAUCGUAAAUCAGAAUGUUACGGUGAAUACGUUCCCGGGCCUUGUACACACCGCCCGUCACACCAUGGGAGUGGGUUGCAAAAGAAGUAGAUAGCUUAACCUUCGGGAGGGCGUUUACCACUUUGUGAUUCAUGACUGGGGUGAAGUCGUAACAAGGUAGGCGUAGUGCU
rnacentral:rRNA from 1 species